rnacentral:rRNA from 1 species
ACCGGCAGCUCAAGUGGUGGCCAUUUUUAUUGGGCAUAAAGCGUUCGUAGCCGGUUUGAUAAGUCUCUGGUGAAAUCCCGCAGCUUAACUGUGGGACUUGCUGGAGAUACUAUAAGCCUUGAGUUCGGGAGAGGUUAGGGGUACUCCCAGGGUAGGGGUGAAAUCCUAUAAUACUGAGAAGACCACCUGUGGCGAAGGCGGCUAACUGGAUCGAACCUGACGGUGAGUAACGAAAGCCUGGGGCGCGAACCG